CCUACGGGAGGCAGCAGUGGGGGAUAUUGCACAAUGGGCGAAACCCUGAUGCAGCGACGCCGCGUGGGUGAAGAAGCGCCUCGGCGCGUAAAGCCCUGUCAGCAGGGAAGAAAAUGCCGGUACCUGAAGAAGAAGCCCCGGCUAACUACGUGCCAGCAGCCGCGGUAAUACGUAGGGGGCAAGCGUUAUCCGGAUUUACUGGGUGUAAAGGGGGCGCAGUCGGCGAUGCAAGCCAGGAGUGAAAGCCCGGGGCCCAACCCCGGGACUGCGCUUGGUACUGCGUGGCUAGAGUGCAGGAGGGGCAGGGGGAAUGCCUGGUGUAGCGGUGAAAUGCGUAGAUAUCAGGAGGAACACCGGUGGCGAAGGCGGCCUGCUGGACUGCAACUGACGUUGAGGCCCGAAAGCGUGGGGAGCAAACAGGAUUAGAUACCCCAGUAGUC
rnacentral:rRNA from 1 species